GCAAAUUCAAGGAGAACCUUGAGAGACCUGUGGGUUCUACUAUGAUGUCCUUCAGUACCUUGAAGAAGAGGGCUUCCUCAGCUUUGGAAUCUUCUGUUGCCACUUUGUGUCCCUGCCACGCCUACAAGAUGGCCUCCACGCCUUCCGUAGUGGUUGGGACAAUCACAGAAGGCCACGUGACUCCAAACCAGCUGUGCAUUGUGUACGUCACCCAAGUCCAGAUAAUACAGCAAAACUUAGCAGGCGGACAAUGGACUUCCACAUGAGGACCACUCCAUCAUUGUUGUCCUAGACACAGUGUGUCUUCUGACUGAUGGACAAAUGAGCACUUGAAGAGAUGCAGUUAGCCCAAAAGCUGCAUCCGAGUCUUUGGCUGUGACACAAAGACACAUUGCUGCUGUUCAGGUAUGUGAGUAUAUGUUUUAUGUAUAAAUAAAAUGAGUUAAUAAUCAGAAUACCUUUUUUGG
rnacentral:lncRNA from 1 species